rnacentral:rRNA from 1 species
GACGAACGCUGGCGGCGUGCUUAACACAUGCAAGUCGAACGGAAAGGCCCUGCUUUUUUGGGGUGCUCGAGUGGCGAACGGGUGAGUAACACGUGAGUAACCUGCCCUUGACUUUGGGAUAACUUCAGGCAACUGGGGCUAAUACCGGAUAGGAGCUCCUGCUUCAUGGUGGGGGUUGGAAAGUUUCGGCGGUUGGGGAUGGACUCGCGGCUUAUCAGCUCGUUGGUGGGGUAGUGGCUUACCAAGGCUUUGACGGGUAGCCGGCCUGAGAGGGUGACCGGCCACAUUGGGACGGAGAUACGGCCCAGACUCCUACGGGAGGCAGCAGUGGGGAAGAUGGCACAAUGGGCGGAAGCAUGAUGCAGCAACGCCGCGUGCGGGAUGACGGCCUUCGGGUUGUAAACCGCUUUCGCCUGUGACGAAGCGUGAGUGACGGUAAUGGGUAAAGAAGCACCGGCUAACUACGUG